rnacentral:lncRNA from 1 species
AAUACGGUGAAUUUUAGUGUCAUCAAAUUCUCCCACACUUAAACCCUUGCUUGUCCUCAAGUAAAACACUUAAAAGAUCAAAGAAGAAAAACCGGUGUCAACGAGUGAUUCGGGCUAGAAAGGCUUCUAAGUUCAAGUCGGGAUGCAAUGAUAAGUACUAACUGAGUGAACUAAGGGUAUCGUGAUGACACUUAUCCGCAGACACAGACAUAAACUCCAUUCCUAUAUU